AUUGAACGCUGGCGGUAUGCUUAAGACAUGCAAGUCGAACGGUAACAGGUUAAGCUGACGAGUGGCGGACGAGUGAGUAACGCGUGGGAAUCUACCUUGUAGUGGGGGAUAAGCCAGGGAAACUUGGACUAAUACCGCAUACGCCCUAAGGGGGAAAGGCGCAAGUCGCUAUAAGAUGAGCCCGCGUCUGAUUAGGUAGUUGGUGGGGUAAAGGCCCACCAAGCCGACGAUCAGUAGCUGGUCUGAGAGGAUGAUCAGCCACGUCGGGACUGAGACACGGCCCGGACUCCUACGGGAGGCAGCAGUCGGGAAUAUUGGACAAUGGGGGAAACCCUGAUCCAGCAAUACCGCGUGUGUGAAGAAGGCCUGCGGGUUGUAAAGCACUUUCAGUUGGGAAGGAUAAUGACGUUACCAAC
rnacentral:rRNA from 1 species